UAAUCCUGUAGUCGAAAAUGUUGUCUCUCUUGAGUGGAUCCUGAGUACGACGGAGCACGUGAAAUUCCGUCGGAAUCAGGGAGGACCAUCUCCUAAGGCUAAAUACUCUCUAGUGACCGAUAGUGAACCAGUACCGUGAGGGAAAGGUGAAAAGCACCCCGGAAGGGGAGUGAAAUAGAACCUGAAACCGUGUGCUUACAAGUAGUCAGAGCCCGUUAAUGGGUGAUGGCGUGCCUUUUGUAGAAUGAACCGGCGAGUUACGAUUUGAUGCAAGGUUAAGCAGUAAAUGUGGAGCCGUAGCGAAAGCGAGUCUGAAUAGGGCGUUUAGUAUUUGGUCGUAGACCCGAAACCAGGUGAUCUACCCUUGGUCAGGUUGAAGUUCAGGUAACACUGAAUGGAGGACCGAACCGACUUACGUUGAAAAGUGAGCGGAUGAACUGAGGGUAGCGGAGAAAUUCCAAUCGAACCUGGAGAUAGCUGGUUCUCUCCGAAAUAGCUUUAGGGCUAGCCUCAAGUGAUGAUUAUUGGAGGUAGAGCACUGUUUGGACGAGGGGCCCCUCUCGGGUUACCGAAUUCAGACAAACUCCGAAUGCCAAUUAAUUUAACUUGGGAGUCAGAACAUGGGUGAUAAGGUCCGUGUUCGAAAGGGAAACAGCCCAGACCACCAGCUAAGGUCCCAAAAUAUAUGUUAAGUGGAAAAGGAUGUGGCGUUGCCCAGACAACUAGGAUGUUGGCUUAGAAGCAGCCAUCAUUUAAAGAGUGCGUAAUAGCUCACUAGUCGAGUGACACUGCGCCGAAAAUGUACCGGGGCUAAACAUAUUACCGAAGCUGUGGAUUGUCCUUUGGACAAUGGUAGGAGAGCGUUCUAAGGGCGUUGAAGCAUGAUCGUAAGGACAUGUGGAGCGCUUAGAAGUGAGAAUGCCGGUGUGAGUAGCGAAAGACGGGUGAGAAUCCCGUCCACCGAUUGACUAAGGUUUCCAGAGGAAGGCUCGUCCGCUCUGGGUUAGUCGGGUCCUAAGCUGAGGCCGACAGGCGUAGGCGAUGGAUAACAGGUUGAUAUUCCUGUACCACCUAUA
rnacentral:rRNA from 1 species